rnacentral:rRNA from 1 species
AACGAACGCUGGCGGCAUGCCUAACACAUGCAAGUCGAACGAGACCUUCGGGUCUAGUGGCGCACGGGUGCGUAACGCGUGGGAACCUGCCCUUAGGUUCGGAAUAACUCCCCGAAAGGGGUGCUAAUACCGGAUAAUGUCUUCGGACCAAAGAUUUAUCGCCUUUGGAUGGGCCCGCGUUGGAUUAGCUAGUUGGUAGGGUAAAAGCCUACCAAGGCGACGAUCCAUAGCUGGUCUGAGAGGAUGAUCAGCCACACUGGGACUGAGACACGGCCCAGACUCCUACGGGAGGCAGCAGUGGGGAAUAGUGGACAAUGGGCGAAAGCCUGAUCCAGCAAUGCCGCGUGAGUGAUGAAGGCCUUAGGGUUGUAAAGCUCUUUUACCCGGGACGAUAAUGACAGUACCGGGAGAAUAAGCUCCGGCUAACUCCGUG